rnacentral:lncRNA from 1 species
GAGACAAAGAAGUAUAAGGCUUUUUUUUUUUUAUUCUUAGGAUUUUAUUUUUCAUUUAUUUUAAGUAAAGAGGUAUGUGUGUCAUUAUUUUUUAUGAUUUUUUUGCUUUUGUUUUGGACAUGCAUAGAUGGGAGUACAUGCAUUCACCCUCAGAGAAUUCCAAAGAAGCUGAAAUUCUGGAAGUUCUACGCCAUCCAAGGGACUGGGUGCGUUGAUGCAGGCAGAGUGGCUGUGCAGGGGUUUGGAGGGCACAGGAUGUGUGCUCCCCAUGCCACUGGUCGGCACUUUGCCACUGUGUGGCAGUUACCUGUGCCUUAAUCUUCUCCACUCUGCACCCUACCUCGUGGGCAGAUGAUAACGUGUUUUGGAUGCUGUCAGUGAUGAAUGGUGAGAUGGCAGAUUGUCAGAGUCAACUGAUUAAACCUCAUUUAUACUUUUAGUGUCAUUUUAUAUGAAUUUUUGUGGAACCAUUGUUUGUUAAUGUUGGGAUUCUCUGCACUUUUGAAUGUGAAAGCUUAUAUCCCUGAAUUCUGAUACUUAGAGUUUUCUAUUUCAGACAUCUCUGUGUGGAAGUUAAGACUAAGAAUAAUCCUAGGGAUGUCA